AAUGAGACCACGGGUUCUUUGGGAUCUGAGGUCAAAGGUAGCCUCUAUUUAUAAGCUAUCGCUUAGAGAUGGGCCUGCGCACCAUUAGCUAGUUGGUACGGUAACGGUCUACCAAGGCAAAGAUGGUUAGCUGGUCUGAGAGGAUGAUCAGCCACCCUGGAACUGAGACACGGUCCAGACUCCUACGGGAGGCAGCAGUGGGGAAUAUCGCGCAAUGGGCGAAAGCCUGACGCAGCAACGCCGCGUGAG
rnacentral:rRNA from 1 species